rnacentral:sRNA from 1 species
ACCAAAGUCAUGGUGGAUGGACAGGUC